GGGGGAGCACAGCCAGGGAGGGAGCCAGGGAGGGCAGAUGGGGCAUCUUCACCGGGCGGGCAUGCGGGAUGGCUCCACGCCAAAGACCCCAGGGACACGUGGGGUGACGGGACCGUGAACGGGUUUCUACACUGCAGGAAUUCUGUGCAAUUUGAGUAUGCUUUCUGGAUCUUCAGUAGGGGACUAUGAUCUACAGAGGUCUCCGUGAGUACGCAGCCACGGGACAUUGGCUUGUCCGCUGAGCGGGACCGGUCCGGAAAUACCGUCGUGAGCAAGUGGCCGAGGCAGGGAUGUUCUGGCAGGUGCGGGUGACAGCUGGGGGACAGGAUGGGAGUGUCCCGCUGCUAAGGCGCACAGAGCUGAUCCCCCCUGCCUGGUCAAUGGCGGCGGAGCGGGAAACCACCGCUGGCAGAGGUGGGCGAGGACCUCAGGAAACACCUUCCAGGGCCUUCUCCUGUCCGCUCCCACCUUGACGGCCUGUGCCAACCACCCCCCACGUAAGCGCAGCAAGGCUUCUGGAAACCCCCAAGCGUGGGAAAGAGCAGGAGGGGACAGAUCAGACCCCCUCAGUGGCCAAUGGUGGUGUCCUGGGUACAACCGGGCAACAGCUCUCAGGAUCCGAAUGCAAGUGGCUUCUGCCCUGCUGCUGUGCACAUUCACCACGACGUGGGACACACCUGAGUGAAGGCUCCCUGUGCACCGGGUUCUUUGGAAAGGACCUCCAGGCAGGUGGUUUUCCGGGACGCUGACCCAGAGGGGGAGUCUAGGAGCGGGUGUCUGUCACCGAGGGAGCGUGUGUGUCGGGACUGGACAGAAGGAAGGUGCCCAGCAGUGUCCCCGCAGGGGCUCUGGGGCCGGCAGGGCCCAG
rnacentral:lncRNA from 1 species